UAACACAGCCGGGUCCUGGAAGGUAAGUAACACAGCCAGGUCCUGGAAGGUAAGUAACACAGUCGGGUCCUGGAAGGUAAGUAACACAGCCGGGUCCUGGAAGGUCAGUAACACAGCCAGGUCCUGGAAGGUCAGUAACACAGCCAGGCCCUGGAAGGUAAGUAACACAGCCAGGUCCUGGAAGUUAACUAACACAGUAACACAGCCAGGUCCUGGAAGGUCAGUAACACAGCCAGGUCCUGGAAGUUAAC
rnacentral:lncRNA from 1 species